rnacentral:rRNA from 1 species
UUCUUUGCUGGCGACCGGCGCACGGGUGAGUAACACGUAUCCAACCUGCCCUUUACUCGGGAUAGCCUUUCGAAAGAAAGAUUAAUACCCGAUAGCAUAAUGAUUCCGCAUGGUUUCAUUAUUAAAGGAUUCCGGUAAAGGAUGGGGAUGCGUUCCAUUAGGUUGUUGGUGGGUAACGGCCCACCAAGCCUUCGAUGGAUAGGGGUUCUGAGAGGAAGGUCCCCCACAUUGGAACUGAGACACGGUCCAA